CCAAAAAGAAAAAAAAAGAAACAAAAGAGAAAAAUGCACUUGCCGAGACUUAAGACUCUAACACCUAUAAAAUGCUCGCAAAGAAUUGAGUGGAAAAGAGUCAAAAGAGUGAAAUUAAUACCUAGAGUUUAAGUGAUGCACGAAAAACAAAAGAGAAAGAAAAAUCACACAACAUGAAUGCCGAGUUCUAAACCUUUUGUU
rnacentral:lncRNA from 1 species